CUCCCUGCAUGCGACUUGCACAGCUUUCCUAAACACAUCCUGUAAAUUAUCAGCUAAUGUGUAGCCUUCAUUUAUUGCACGUUCUGUUCAAAUUUAGAUUUUCUUAUUCCCUGCUAUGUUAAUAGUUUGCUAGACCCUGCUAGAGCCUCCUGUAUGUGAUUAAAGUUCAAUUUACAGAGCAGGAGAUAAAAUAGUUUAAGUUAAUUACAUCUGAUUGAAAGUGAAACCAUGUUUUUUUUUUUUUUUUCAUGCAGCCUGUGUCAAAUCAGAGCCAGGGAAAAUGUGACAAGUGCUGCAUAAACAGAAACAAAGUGAUUUAACUCCUAAAUGGCAGUGAAUUAAGCAGUGUAACCUGAGAGGCAUGAUCUAUACGUUAAAACUGCUUCAUUAAGCUAAAGUUUUUUAGGUGACUAUAGUGUCCCUUUAAUUAUGAUCUGAACCAAUGCUGCUUCUAAUAAAAACAUUGCAGGUCUAUUCUGCAUUCGUGUUGAUCUGUUUCUCUUUAUUGAGAUGCAUUACAUCAAUGACUGAAGAUACAGAACAUCAGUCUUGCAAAUAUUGUAGGAUCAUAAUAGGAACCACCUCUAAUGGCUGUCUGUGUCGCUGACAGCCAUUAGAGAUGCAUUCUUAGCAACACAUUUAAACACUGCCUUUUCACAGAAAAUACACUGAUCUGUGGGACUGCAAGGAUAGUUCCUUUACACAAUUUCUGUAUUAACCUGUAGUGGUUCUGGUAUUUAGAACUUCUUCAAAAGGAUACUCAAAGCACCAAAACAAAUUUAGCUCAAUUAAGCAGCUUUAGCGUAAAGAUCAUGCCUCAGCAGUCUCGCUGCUCAAUUCUCUGCCAUUAAGGAGUAAAAUCCCUUCUGUUUCUGCAGCCCUAACCACAUCUCCCCUGGUUGCGACAGGCCUACAUGAUGAAAAAAAAAAUAUAUUUUAUGUUCAAUCAGGUGCGACAGCACAGUGUGUAUACUUUAGAAGUUUUUACCUCUUGCUCUACUAAUUUAACUUUAAUCACACACAGGUGGAUCUUGCAGACUCUAGUAGGCAAUUAACAGAACUGUUAAACAGACCGUGCAAUAAAGGACAUUAACCCCUUAAGGACACAUGACAUGUGUGACAUGUCAUGAUUCCCUUUUAUUCCAGAAGUUUGGUCCGAAGGUGUUAAAGCAUUAGAUCUCUCUUUAAAGACAUGUGUAGGGAUACUGUGUAGGUCACAUGCAGGGAGGUGUGACUAAGACGGCAUAAACAAAGUGAUUUAAAUGACCA